AUCGGGUAAAUAUUUUAAAGCAUGAUGGUAAAACUGAUCAGUCUGGACGCCUCUGAAAACUAGGAGAGCGAUCAUUCUAAUCCCAGCUGUCAUAGUGUUAACUGUUUCUUGAGAGUUUCUUUCAAUCUCCAGUAAUGUUUUCGUUUGGGGGUACAUUCUCAUUCUCUCCAGGAGAAUUCAAUUGAUUGUCCAAGUAAAUCGGUCAUCUUUUGAAGUAACUUAAAAUUCAAUUAUUGUAAUUUAGAAGUAAAGUCCCCCUUAUAGAAUAUACUAAUGUGAUAGCUUGAAUUAGGAUGACGAUUGAUUCCCUCUAUACUUCGGAUCUUCAAUACCCCUUUUGGGUUUCUGUAUCGGGCCGAGAAUUUCCAUUGUAAAAGGGCCGGCGACUUCUUCCAACCAUGGAUGGAAUCGUACGUCAUUGAACGCUGAUGAGGAGAGAACAAGACUAACUCCCUUUUGGAUCUGUCGCCGCGACGCCUGAUCAUUCCUGGAGGACAACCAAUCAUCUUCACCCUUCAUCCAUCUCCGCCAGGGACUCCGGACAUCGCGACGACAACUCUACAAGAUGAGUACCUUAUCUUUCCCCAUCGGAAUUCAAUGUGUCCCUUAAAUUUUGGUCUCUUAACCUAGCUCCGCAGUGCAGGCUG
rnacentral:misc_RNA from 1 species